GCAGGACUCUACAAAAUGCUAACCAAUCUGCAUAAAAUUUCUUGGCAAAUACGUGAAAUCGAAUGGAAAAUUUGUUAAGUCGCAAAUCGUUUUAUUUUUGUGAUUUGUGUGGCUUUCAAAUUGCAAAAUUCGCCGAGGCUGACAUUUUGUUGAACAACAACAACAACAGCAACAGCAGCAGGAAUAUCAACAGGAGCAGGACCAGGACUAGGACCAGGACCUGGUCUUUGAGCAUGGAGCAUCAGCAGGAUGCAGGAGCAGCAACAGGGAGUCGCCAUAGAAAAACAUGGUUAAAAAAAAUAAGCCCGGCUCACGCGUGGUUAUGGAAAUGGAUCCCAUGGCCAAGGGACGGGGACGGGAAGAGUCCUUAUGCUGCCUGGACCAGGGUCUAUUGUUGGGGACGUGGCCUACAUCAACAUCUCCAUAGCUCAAUCCACAUUCAAGCACAGCACUGGCAAGGAAAAUAAUAGAGAGUACUGUGUAAUACCCAGUAAUAUGUUCAAUCAAAAGCAUAUCUGCUUAGAAGGUUGAGCAUCUGCUGCCCCGUUGACUGUUGGCCUUGUUUUUGGUUUCUAUUUUUUUUUUGGGUAUAAUGACCAUGCAACAGCAGCUCCUGUGGAAAAGAAGCAAUGACUCCACUGGUCAAUGGCAAAUGAAAAAUGGCCACUCCAAAAUGCAACUUCAAGCUCAACCUCAACGCAACUCAUCUCCCGGCUGACUUUCACAUUUCGCUUUCAUUGCCACAGCGACAUAAACAACACGGUAGCAACAUCCUUCAGCAAGGAGCAGGAACAGGACCAAGAGGAGGAAGAGCAGGAACAGGACCAAGAGGAGGAGCAGAACAAGGACCAAGAGGAGGAGCAGGAACAGGACCAAGAGCAGGAGCAACAUCAGGACUAGAAGGAAAAGCUGGAUCCUCGUUUGCCCUCGCCAAAUUGGAAAAUAUGUUUUGUUUUUCUGCGCUUUCCCCUCGACAGCCUCAAGUCAAGUUAGUCGAGUUAGAAAUUGGAAAAUUGCACGGCAACCUGGACAGGUUUUUUUCGGCCAAAAGAGGAGGAGGAUGAAGAACAGGA